CCACACUCAAAACAGCCAAAUGGUUUUUGUCCUGUAUGAAUUAUCAUGUGCUCAUCCCGUGGUUCUUUCGUCCAAAUCUUUGACCACAUUCAGAACAGCCAAACUGUUUCUGUCCCGUAUGAAUUAUCAUGUGUGUCUUCAGAGUGCCCUUUUGUGCAAAUCUAAGACCACAUUCAGAACAGCCAAAUGGUUUUUGCCCUGUAUGAAUAAUCAUGUGUUUGUUUAAGUUGCUCUUUAGCCCAAAUCUUCUACCACAUUCAGCACAGCCAAAUGGUUUUUGUCCUGUAUGAAUUAUGUGUUCUUUGAGGUGGCUCUUUUGUCCAAAUCUUUGACCACAUUCAGAACAGCCAAAUUGUUUUUCUCCUGUAUGAAUUAUCAUGUGUCUGUUCAGGUGGCUCUUUCGUCUAAAUCUUUGAUCACAUUCAGCACAGCCAAAUUGUUUUUGUCCUGUAUGAAUUAUCUUGUGUCUGGUCAGGUGGCUCUUUUGUCCAAAUCUUUGACCACAUUCAGAACAGCCAAAUUGUUUUUCUCCUGUAUGAAUUAUCAUGUGUCUGUUCAGGUUGCUCUUUUGCCCAAAUCUCUGACCACAUUCAGAACAGCCAAAUAGUUUUUGUCCUGUAUGAAUUGUCCUGCGUUUGUUCACAGUGUCUUUCUGUUUCUGUCUCGUACCCUGAUCAGAACAGCUAAAUGGUUUGCCCCUUGCUUGCCUCCCCUUGU